rfam:Schistosoma curassoni strain Dakar, Senegal genome assembly, scaffold: SCTD_contig0005543
AUCCGGCUGACGAGUCCCGAAUAGGACGAAACGCGCGUCCAGGAU